GGGGAAUAUUGCACAAUGGGGGAAACCCUGAUGCAGCGACGCCGCGUGGAGGAAGAAGGUCUUCGGAUUGUAAACUCCUGUUGUUGAGGAAGAUAAUGACGGUACUCAACAAGGAAGUGACGGCUAACUACGUGCCAGCAGCCGCGGUAAAACGUAGGUCACAAGCGUUGUCCGGAAUUACUGGGUGUAAAGGGAGCGCAGGCGGACCGGCAAGUUGGAAGUGAAAUCCAUGGGCUCAACCCGUGAAUUGCUUUCAAAACUGCUGGCCUUGAGUAGUGCAGAGGUAGGUGGAAUUCCCGGUGUAGCGGUGGAAUGCGUAGAUAUCGGGAGGAACACCAGUGGCGAAGGCGACCUACUGGGCACCAACUGACGCUGAGGCUCGAAAGCAUGGGUAGCAAACAGGAUUAGAUACCCUGGUAGUCCAUGCCGUAAACGAUGAUUACUAGGUGUUGGAGGAUUGACCCCUUCAGUGCCGCAGUUAACACAAUAAGUAAUCCACCUGGGGAGUACGACCGCAAGGUUGAAACUCAAAGGAAUUGACGGGGGCCCGCACAAGCAGUGGAGUAUGUGGUUUAAUUCGAAGCAACGCGAAGAACCUUACCAGGUCUUGACAUCCGAUGCAUAGUGCAGAGAUGCAUGAAGUCCUUCGGGACAUCGAGACAGGUGGUGCAUGGUUGUCGUCAGCUCGUGUCGUGAGAUGUUGGGUUAAGUCCCGCAACGAGCGCAACCCUUAUUGCCAGUUACUACGCAAGAGGACUCUGGCGAGACUGCCGUUGACAAAACGGAGGAAGGUGGGGAUGACGUCAAAUCAUCAUGCCCUUUAUGACCUGGGCUACACACGUACUACAAUGGCGUUUAACAAAGAGAAGCAAGACCGCGAGGUGGAGCAAAACUCAGAAACAACGUCUCAGUUCAGAUUGCAGGCUGCAACUCGCCUGCAUGAAGUCGGAAUUGCUAGUAAUCGCGGAUCAGCAUGCCGCGGUGAAUACGUUCCCG
rnacentral:rRNA from 1 species